UUAAAACUUUUACUCCCGUAAUUAAUACCCUAAAAUUCUCCCCACUUCAUCACCAGCACGUCCUAAAUCAUCUUCCCCAAAACUACAUCGUCGUCAAAGGAAAGUAAAACCCCUGAUUGUGCACCCCAAAAUCCUUGUUAGUGCCUACACCUAAAUCAACAUCCCAAGACUGGCACCAAAUUCUACUCAAUUUCAAGUUCAACCAGCAACCUUUUACAGUAUGUAGUCAGCUUUUUCCAUUUCUUUGGCAUCAGUACGGCAUCAGUGUAUAGCUUCACAAGUGCAUCCCAAAGUCAAUGGUCCGAUGACGCAACCACUUUCAGCCAUUCCCUUUACGAGGUCCUUUCCUUUCGCCAACAUUUUAUGUUGUGCAUUAACAUUUAGUAGAAUUAGGGACCUUUUCAUCUAAUUGUAUAUUGUAUUGCUUUAAUGCAUGUACAAAUUUAUGUAAUUGGUGUAAACUUGCAUAUAUAGGAUGUAUAUAUUGUACAUGUAACUAAAUUCUUGAUAUUGAAAUCUUGGUAUUGAGUCGAAUAUGGAAUUUUUUUCA